CUGCUCCAAAGAGCAUCAUCAAAAUUAAAAACAACAACAAAAAACUUAAAAUAUUCCCUACUCGUAUAAAAGAUACAUAAAUCGUUUUUGCAUUUCAAUUCUAUUAUAAAACUGCGUCUUCUAUCGAAAUAAUAUACAUUCCCUCCUAGAAAAGAAACUCCCCCACUUGGGUGAGAAUCUAUACAAAAAUUCUAAAAAUUACGUCACCUUGUGUCAGUCAGGAAAAGAAUUUCAAUUUUUGUAUAAUUUUCAAUCUUAAAAAUCAUUUCUUUUUGAUUUCUGUUUCGUGCGGUUGGUGGUUGUUUCUUGUGUUUUACCCGUUGCUUAGUAUUCUUGUUUGUAGAUAGACGACACCAACGAGAAAUCAAGAAUCCAAAAAAAUUACAUAAUUUUUUUUUUAAUUGAAAUUCGAUUUUUUGUGACUGCGCGCCGCUGUCGAUCUCGAUUUUAUUUUUUAUCAAACGAAAACGAAAGUCUUUGUAAAAAGGACCUCACUCAGUUUCAAUCCAGCCAGCAGAAGUGGAAGAAGGCAAAAAAACGAUUCCAGAGAAUCUUUGCAACCAUGAUAAAUCAAUCGCAUAUCGUCCCAAUUGCCGUUGGCAUUGUAGCAGUAAUUGCUGGAGCAGCCUUAGUACACUAUUUUCUAAAUAAACAAUCAAAAAAAUCUGGCAAAUCAAAACCAAAUAAAUCGGCUCGUCUAAAGACACUGCAGGAUCCAAAUGAUAAAUAUCUCCUGCCAUUGAUUGAAAAAGAAAAUCUCAGUCAUGAUACCCGGCGAUUUAGAUUCGGAUUGCCAUCCAAUCAACAUAUCCUUGGUUUGCCUGUAGGUCAACAUAUUCAUUUGAUAUCAACAAUCAACGAUGAACUGGUCAUUCGGCCCUAUACACCAAUAUCGUGUGAUGAUGAUCAGGGAUACGUUGAUUUAGUUGUUAAGGUUUAUUUCAAAGACAUCCAUCCAAAGUUUCCGGAUGGUGGAAAGAUGACACAAUAUUUGGAAUCAAUGAAAAUUGGCGAUAAGAUUGCUUUCCGAGGACCAUCUGGUCGAUUACAGUAUUUGGGAUCGGGAGAGUUUUCGAUUAAGAAAUUGCGAAAGGACCCACCAAAGACUGUUAGAGCUAAGAAGGUCAAUAUGAUUGCUGGAGGAACUGGAAUUACCCCAAUGUUGCAACUUGUAAGAGAUGUAUUGAAGAACAAAGACAAAGACACAACAGAAUGCGCACUAUUAUUUGCAAAUCAGACCGAAAAUGAUAUUCUGUGCCGUGCUGAACUUGAUAAAUUGGCUCAGGAGCACCCGGAUCAGUUUAAGGUCUGGUACACCGUAGAUAGAGCUGCUGAAGGUUGGUCAUUUAGUCAAGGCUAUGUGACCGAUGACAUGAUGAAAGAUCAUCUUUUCCCACCCGACAGUGAGACACUAGUUCUUCUAUGCGGUCCACCACCAAUGGUUAAUUACACAUGUAUACCGGGCUUGGAACGAUUAGGCUAUGAUGCUAAUAUGCGUUUUAGCUAUUAAAAUAAAAUACAACAAACAAAAUUAUAAAACAAAAAACGAGUGAUAACUCUUGUAAACUGUACCUAGAAUCGCUGUCUUGUUAUAAACUACUAUGUGUUGUGUCUUAGUUGGACAUUUAUUUUUUGUUGUUAAUUUUAAAGAGGCUUUUUAGAGUUAAUCUUAUUAUUAUUGAAGUAAAUAAACUUUAUUCCAUGUCUGCUUAUGUUCCUGAGAGGACUUAAUAUAAUAAAGGCUGGAACUUUGGCGUUGGUUUUAUCAGUGAAGAUAUGAUUAAAUCUCAUCUCUUCCCAGCUGAUGAAAACACAAUAGUGCUUAUGUGUGGACCACCUCCAAUGAUUAAUUUUGCUUGCAAUCCAGCAUUGGAUAAACUAGGAUAUCAUCCUGAUCAAAGAUUUGCUUAUUAAAAAAUUUGCAAAAAAACAAAAA